ensembl:misc_RNA 7SK 7SK RNA
AGAAAGGGCUACAUGGCUGAAACAUUUGUCACCCCGCUGAUGUGCCUGGCUGAUCAAAGUUGACAAGGUUGAUCUGGCUGCUGCAGCAAGUGUUUCCUUUCUCCCUCACCACUCUGUGAGCAUCCCUCCUGAAAGUUUCAUGCUCAGUUGAAGAGGAAAACCUUCCCCAAAUAGAGAUGGACUGAUCUUCCCCGGGAGGGUAUGUGAGUAUCUGUGCUCCCCCGCUAGAACUUCCAAACAAGCUCUUAAGAAAUUAAUGCAAGACUGGGAGUAUGGACCGACCAGUCAACGCCCAUGUUCAGCAGGGAAGCAAUUACAGAAGCCAGACCUUCUACCUUCUGC